AGUCCACUUAAGCCCUGCUUAGUAUUGGGAACCUACUGAAGAUGCUACUUGUAGCUACCCUGUAGUUCCUUAAAGACAUCGGCGGAGUUGUCAUAUCUCUGAGCUUAGUAAAUAUUCAAAGCUUCUGGGCCAUGACAUCCCCUGCCGUUAAACCUUCUACCUCUGUAGAGAUUUUUAAU
rnacentral:misc_RNA from 1 species